CUUAAUCAGGAGUGCAUAAAAAAAUCGAUAUUUCAGAAAAGAAAAUGUAUUUAUGCAAAACGUGAUAAUCUAAAUUAAAUAGUCUCUUAACUGUCGAACGGUGAUAAAAAAAAAAAAAAAACAUGAUUAAACAGAAUUGCAGAGCUGGUGCUAAGAAUUAUACAAUUAUUCUUAGUAAAACAGACCAAUACAGGACAUUGCCACAUAUGUACCCUAAUUCUUGUAAUACGCAGUUUGACCACCCACAUUAAGUCGACCG
rnacentral:lncRNA from 1 species